UGCAGUCGAACGACGAAGCUAACUUCUGAUUCCUUCGGGAUGAUGAGGUUAGCAGAAAGUGGCGAACGGGUGAGUAACGCGUGGGUAAUCUACCCUGUAAGUGGGGGAUAACCCUCCGAAAGGAGGGCUAAUACCGCAUAAUAUCUUCUCCUCUAAAAGAAGAGAAGAUUAAAGAUGGCCUCUAUACUAUGCUAUCACUUCAGGAUGAGCCUGCGUCCUAUUAGUUAGUUGGUGGGGUAAUGGCCUACCAAGGCCACAAUGGGUAGCCGGUCUGAGAGGAUGUACGGCCACACUGGGACUGAGAUACGGCCCAGACUCCUACGGGAGGCAGCAGUGGGGAAUAUUGCGCAAUGGGGGAAACCCUGACGCAGCGACGCCGCGUGGAUGAUGGAGGCCUUUGGGUUGUAAAAUCCUGUUCUGGGGGAAGAAAGCUUAAGGGUCCAAUAAACCCUUAAGCUUGACGGUACCCCAAGAGAAAGCUCCGGCUAAUUAUGUGCCAGCAGCCGCGGUAAUACAUAAGGAGCAAGCGUUAUCCGGAAUUAUUGGGCGUAAAGAGCUCGUAGGCGGUCUUAAAAGUCAGGUGUGAAAU
rnacentral:rRNA from 1 species